GGUAUCCGUAGUAAAAUAAGUCGCUGUCUUAUCGGUAGGUCUUCGUUCUUCAAGCUUAAAUUAAAAUACGUAAUGAUAAAAAUAUAAAUUAAUAGCAGUUACAAUGACUGUUAAUAACAUAUUGUGUUAUUUACCAGAAAAUACAGUUUGUCGGUAUCGUCAUUUUUAUUUUGGUAUUUCGAAAAUUAUUAAUAUUUAAUCCAAAAUGUCAUAGUCCGAAAACAGUGUUGUGUUUGUUUGCGGUGUUUCGGUGGUAACGAUGGCUAACUCCCCGACAAGUAUUGAGACGCAAAUAGACAGUUUCUUAGAACAAUUCAAACGAAGUGCUUCCAAAGCCAUGGAAGAACGUAUGGAAUGGCCUGAUGGUCCAUCGCCUAGCGCAGUCGUCAAAUCACGCAGUAGCUGUUUUGCUUUAGAUUCUGCUUCUGAAGCGGAAUGCGACGGCUGCAGCAGCGACAAUGACGAAGGUCGAACCGUGGGGGAGCUGCUGCUGCCCCAGUACGCGCUGGCCACGGGCGGGCUGGCGCGGGACCAUCGCCCGCUGAUCACCUUCCCUGAUAAUAAUAACUUCCACGUCCUCACAGCCACGGAGUACAGGCGGCUGCUGCUUUACCUCACUUCUGUGCCCUCAUUGUUAGAAGCGGAAAUGGGUUUCCAUAUAAUAAUAGAUCGACGGAAAGACAGAUGGAACUCAGUGAAAGCAACAUUAUUAAGAAUAUCCGAAUUUUUCCCGGGCGUAAUCCACGCAGUAUACGUGCUCCGACCGGCCAGUUUCCUACAAAAGGCCCUCUCUGAAGUUAGCAGCAAGUUGUUCAAGGAAGAGUUCAGGUUCAGGGUGCUCGUGUGUUCCACUGUGGACGAGUUGUAUGAACACUUCGACAAGUCACAGCUCACACCAGACUUGGGGGGCGAGUUACAGUACUCACACUCGGAAUGGAUACAGCAACGGAUAGCGCUAGAGAAAUUUUCGACUCUAAUGAAGGAAAUCUCGACGAAACUGGACGACUUCAUGCACGAGAUCGUAGAUUGCGACAUGGGCAAUGAUCCCACUCAAACCAAAGAAUUGUUAGAUUGUCAAGAAUCUAGUUAUAAAACUUUAAAAACUGAACUAGCGUCGGCGACAUCGCAAGGCGAAGAGUUGCUGACGCAAGUGCGAAAACCAAAUCUUACAUAUAAUAUUAUAAGUCACGUGGCUGCUGUGGAGAGGCUACUUGUACAACUUGAAGAGACUGAAAAACAAUUUGAUAAUUUCUGGAAGAAACAUUCAAUGAAAUUAAACCAUUGGCUGAAAUUUAGAACAUUUUUAUUAAAUUUUAAACAAAUGCAGGCGACUUUAGAUACACAUUUAAAGACAGCAUGCGAUAUGACUGAAGUGGGAGAAACUGCAAAUAGGGUCGACGGUCUUCUAGAAGAGGCUAGUGAAUUUGAAAAAUUAUGUAACUGUGAUCUCGAUGCCGCAUCAUUAGUAAUUGAUGAGGGUGAAAAAUUAAUGCAAGAUCCUUUAAGUUCAUUGGACCAUAUAGAAUCGAAGUGUGAAGAAUUAAGACGAACUAGCGCUUUACUAAUCGAUAAAAUACAAAAACGAAAUUUACUUUUAACAAAAGCAAGAGAGCUUAUGGAUAGAAUAGAUAAGGCAAACGAGUGGUGCACAACAGGAGUAGAAAUAUUAGCAGGAGAAGGAGGACUUAUAGCUGUAGAUAAGUUAUUAGAAGACGCAAAAAGCUUUGGGCUUACGUCACCCGAUGAAUUCAGAGACAUGCUUAUGCAGACUGCAACGCAAGAAACUAGAGCGCUUGUUACACAGGUGUCACAACGGGUGGAAGACGUGUGGCUGAUGGUAACUGUGAAGCGUGCGACGUUACAGCGGGCGGCGGCAAAACCCGCGCGCCCCGUGCAGUCUGUACCGCCGCAGACCGCCGCGCUGCAGCUGCCCGUCGAACAGAUGGAGACGUCAGGCGGGUCAGAGAGCUCUGGGGGCGAAGACGCAGAGGCUCGGCGGUCCAGGCGCGGCCACGUGUUGGCUGAACUCCUUCAAACGGAGAGAAUUUACGUACAAGAACUAGGCUCCAUACUGGCUGGCUAUAAAGAAGAAAUGGAAAAACCAGAAAACCAACACAUACUACCGGCAGGUCUAGUUGGACAGGCGGAUGUACUAUUCGGAAAUCUACACGAACUAUUCACAUUCCACCAAGAAGUAUUUUUAAAGGAUUUGGAAAAAUCGAUCUCAGCGACAGAACUUGUUGCACUCUGCUUUGUUGAAAAGAAAGAAACAUUCUACCACCUAUACAGUUACUAUUGCCAAAACAUACCCCGUUCGGAGCGGCUGCGAGAGACAUUAGUCGACACGCAUCUAUUCCUUCAAGCGUGCCAGCAGCGGCUCGGACACAAGCUGCCCUUGGCGGCCUAUCUGCUCAAACCGGUGCAGAGGAUUACUAAAUACCAACUGUUGAUAAAGGACCUGCUCCGCUACAGCGAGUGCGGGUCGAUGAGCGCGAGCCUGCAGCAGGCGCUCGACUGCAUGCUCGUCGUGCUCAAGUGCGUCAACGACUCCAUGCACCAGAUCGCCAUUACUGGGGUGCCUGUGGAUUUAAACCAGCAGGGCGAGUUGUUACUCCAAGGCUCUUUCCUGGUGGUGUCGGAGAACAAGCGCGACCUGCGGCUGCGCCUGCGCCCGCGCCGCAGACACAUCUUCCUCUACGAGAAGGCGAUGCUCUUCUGCAAGCCGGCUGCUAAGAACAGCCAUAAUAAGACGUACCAUUUUAAACAUGACUUGCAGAUGUCGCAAAUAGGUCUAACAGAAUCAGUGAAGGGCGACCCGCGCAAGUUCGAAGUGUGGCGGCAGGGGCGCGCGGAGGUGCACACGAUCACGGCGCCGUCGGCCGACGCCAAGCGCGCCUGGGUGGAGCGCAUCAAGCGCGUGCUGCUCGACCAGCUGCACGAGCUCAAGGGCGAGCGCGGCCGUCAGUACGCGGCGCACCACAGAACACUCAUCCAAACGAGUUCCUGGGACAUCGGUCCGCCAAAGGAACGUCCGCACCCCGGCGUGCACCCGCGCACCGCCUCGUGCGAUGCGCACGACGAGCCGUGCUGGUCCACCGACCCGUCCGACGACGACGAGGAGGAACCCAUACACGCGCCGGCGGUGGGCAGCUCGCUAGUGGCGCUGUCGGAGUACGCGGCGGUGGGCGCCAGCGAGGUGUCGCUGCGCGAGGGGCAGCACGCCGAGCUGCUCAAGGUGGGCUGCGCGGGCUGGUGGUACGUGCGCCUCGCAGGUACGUAGCGGGUGGUACAGUACGCGGCGGUGGGCGCCAGCGAGGUGUCGCUGCGCGAGGGGCAGCACGCCGAGCUGCUCAAGGUGGGCUGCGCGGGCUGGUGGUACGUGCGCCUCGCAGGCGGCGGCGAGGGCUGGGCGCCGGCCGCGUACCUCGACACGAGGAAGACGUCGCGCUCCUCCAGCCGCUCGCACGAACACUAGCCUUCAAGUGCUACAAGCGUACAACACUACAGUAUUGGCAUUCACUUCCAUCUGUAUUCCACCAAUACGGGAAUACCAGAUCUACCCAUGGCCAGUGCCGGCGUGAGGGCCACUGACACCCCGGGCGAAAAUAUUAUGGCGCCCACUUGAGGGAAGCAAUAUCAAGUAUUAGGUUAACCAAAUUCAGACCUUGGCGCCCCCCAGAAUUUGUCGCCCUGGGACAUUGCCCCCUCUGCCCCCCCCCCCCCCCCCCCCUCCUAACGCCGGCACUGCCCAUGGCUGUCGAAGUUACUCGUUUCGUGAAACAUUUGUUGUGUUAAUAAAUUGUUCAAAAUUCUCUUCCUGACAAUUUUGAUAUCGAACGUUUUUGGUGUUAUGUUAUGGCAUAAAAUGCAUUCUUUCGAAACGGUGCCUGAUCUUUUUCAAGUUUUACGUGUAAAUAAAUUGGUGUUAUUUAGUUUCUUUGCAUUAUCGUGGAGUUAUUUUUAUACCUAAAGUGAGCCUUACAUUAUAACAAAUUUAAUAGUAGAAUUUGGAUUGUACACUUUAGUGGUUUGUACCUUCGAUGGAUUUGUACGGAAUUGUCAGUUUUAAACAAGACUUUUGCUAAAUGGAUAUUUAAGGUAACAGCUGAAAAUAUUUACCCCUUAUUCAAAAUGUUAAUGCAAUCUUAAUUGAGUUUAAUAAGGGACUAAAUAUAAUAAAUCCAAUAAAUAUCGAAGCUUUGUUUCGAAACUGAUAAUUCCGCGUCCCCUUGUAACGUGUCGCGUACCAACAAGCGCCUCCCACUUGUUACUGUUAAUAUACAAUAAGUAAUAACAUUGUUUUUAUAUGUAUGUAAAUGUUGUUCUUAAAGCUUUAUUGUAAUUAGUGUUAAACGUGUGCACGAGUAUCCAAAGCUAUGUAGUGGCGUAGUUGUUGACGGCCGUUCGUUUCGUACUUUUGUAAAUAUUGUUUAGAAUGUAGUAAUUUAUUUGAAAGCUAGACGAGUUUUAUGUCUCAAAUGUCCAUGACAGAAUCUGUAGAUAGAUUAAUUCUUACAUAGAUGUACAUUUCACGAUGCGACAAUACACCUCCGUAAAUUUCUUCCUACAGUCUAUUAAGCAUAAUAGUAACUUUUAAAUAAUAUUAAUACACUAAGAGACAAUAAUUUUUUUAAAUUGUGUGUCGUGAAAUGUAAACGAUUAGGAUUCUAAUAUUCAUAGCUAUCAGUGGAAAGUGUUUUCAUAUCCAUGUGUAAUCAUAUCAUUGUCGCUUUGCGUUGAAUAUAUUAAAAAUAUAUUUUGGAGUAUUUGUGAGUGAAACGCUGGUGCAUGUUUGCUUUUUGGUGUUCAGAAUACGUACUAGUCGGUAUACAUUAGUGUCGGUGUUAAAAUGUUAAUUGUCAUGUAAAAUCAGUAGACGUUAUUUUAUUUUGUAUCUCCUGAAAUCAUUGUGAAAAUGCAUUUUCUUUUGAAUUAGUUAUACAUUGUAAUUGAAAAACAAAUGAACUUAAUUACAUGGAUUUUUGCCCAUUUC